AAACAUGACUGGAGCGGCCCCACCCCCCCUUUUAGGUCAGUCAGCGGGCCCCCCCUUUUGAAAAGUUCUAGAUCCGCCACUGCUUGGUACAGGUUUGAAUUUGGAUUGUAAUUAAAUAUUUGACAAAUAAUAGUUUUUUGCCACAGAAUAACUGUAGUCAAAGAACUUACAAAUUGGUAAUAUGAUUUGAAUCUAUAUUCAAUUUUUUGCUUUUGUGCAAUACACUAUGCUGUUGCAAAUUGAGCCCCUCCCCCCUAAAUGAAAUUGACCCCGUUUUUUUUUUUUUGCUUUUGUGCAACAUAUUAUCCUGUUGAAUAUUAACCCCCCCAAAAAAAAUAUUUGAAGAAAUUUCUUUUUAAUUUUUAAAAUCUGAAAUGAGAAAAAAUAGUUCCCCCCCCCCCCCCCCCCCACCCCCAAUUUUUUUUCACCUCUCUUUCCCUUAUUCCAAAACAAGUUGCUUUCUUUAAACAAGAGGCUCUCAAGAGCCUGAAUCGCUCACCUGUAUUUCAGAGGAGAAGAUUUUUAAAUGUUAGCAAACUUAGCUUGAUGAACAAAUUGUGUAAAAUUGUCUUUAAAGGGCAAUAACUCCUUAAGGGGUCAAUUGACAAUUAUGGUCAUAUUAACUUUUUUGUAGAUCUUACUUUGCUGAACAUUAUUGCUGUUUACAUUUUAUAUAUAUCUAUAAUUAUAUUCAAAAUAAUAACAAAAAACUGCAAAAUUUUGUUAAAACUACCAAUUCGGUGGCAGCAACCCAACAAUGGGUUGUUCGAUUCGUCUGAAAAUUUCAGAGCUGAUAGAUCUUGACCAAUUGAACAAUUUUACCCAUUGUCAGAUUUGCUCUAAAAGCUUUAGUUUUUGAGAUAUAUGCCAAAAACUGCAUUUGACCCCUAUGUUUUAUUUUUAGCCAUGGCGGCCAUGUUUGUCGAUGGAUCAAAACUUCGGAUACAAUUUAUAAACUAGAUACCCUAAGGAACAUUUAGUUAAAGUUUGAAGGUAUUUGGCCCAGUAGUUUCAGAGGAGAAGAUUUUUGAAAUAGUUUACGACAGACGACGGACGCCAAGUGAUGGCAUAAGCUCACAUGGGCCCUGGUGAGCUAUAAAAGAAAAGCAAUACGUGAACCUAAGACCGCUGACUGCCGGGUCACCAAAUUUGUGUUUGCUUUUGAAUUGAAAUACAGUGGCAGAUCCAGAAAUUUUCAUAAGAGGGGGGCCGCUCCAGUCAUGCUUCAGUGAUUCCCUAUAUAAUCAACCAAAUUUUUCCCACAAAAGGGGGGGCCCAGGCCCCCUGGAAAACUCUCUAAAUCCGCCCCUGAAAUAAUUGACUGUGAAUAGAAGAAGCCAGUUGAAAGUGUAUAUUUACAGCUACUAUUUGAAUAUACAUUUUAAAGCUUGACUAUUUUAUUUAUUACUUGGGAAUGUACAUAAUUUUUCCGAUUAUAUCCCUUUUGCAAAUCCCAAUUUCUACAAACCGGAUGACUUAUGCAAAUUGCACAAACCAAUCGCAAUAUAAAUUAGUGCACUCAGUUUGCUUUAUAAUCUGGAAUUCUAGAUGCAUUUAUUUUAUCUAUCAUAUCUUUAUAUUUUGUUUCCUGCAUGGAUGCCUUUUUAUUCUCAAGUCGUUACUCAUGGUAGAUGUUGUAUAGAUAAAUUUAAAGUCCAAUUUCCAUGUGCGACGAAACCUGUGGCAUCCAAUUGAUUGAGAUCUCUUAUAAAGAGACUUAUUUUUUGGUCUCAUAAAACAUCUAAAAUUUUAAGGAUUUCCUGAUUUUACUUAAAUCAAUUCAAACAUUCUACAGGGAAACUUGGUUUUGCCGAAGAAUAUCUUAAUUCAGAAGUUUUAUGAAUACCUGUAGUCCUGUACACACUUUCAAAAUAACCAAUUUAUAUAAAAAGAUAUGUAGAUAAAAAAAGAUACCAGAAUUAAAAUGAUGUAUGCCAGACGCGAGUUAAGUCUACAAAAAAAGCAUCAGUGACCCUCGAAUGAAAAAAAUUAAAAGGCUAAAUAAAUUACAAAGUUAAGGAAUCUAUACCUUUGGUAGACAAUCCUUAGUUUUUCGAAAAGGUCAAAGUUUAUUAUAGGACAGUGAGUAAAAAAAGAAACAAAAGAGAAACAGCUAGAGGUCAGAAUACCAUUAAUAAUGAUGACCGUUCUUGAAAGUCACAUGACAAGCUCUUUCUGCCGUGUCCUGAAUUUAGAAAAGAAAAACGAAAAUGCCAUUUCACGAGUGAAAUUAGUAUUAUUGCAUGCUAGCAGUAUUUUAGUGCACGAAAUAGUAAAUAGAAAGCAUACACACUGAUACUCAGGAAAAGAAUACGCAUUUUCGUCAUCACAUAUAUUAAUCUAAUAGUUGAAUUCGAAUGUCAAACUACCUACAUCAAAUGUUGUGACUCCGGAUUCAUUGACAUUUUAUACCGAAUUUUUUUGAACGCAAACCGAUAGUUUGUGUUUGAAAUGUGAUCUAUAGUGUGAAUGAAUCAAGACGUGAAGGAUAGUUGGUCAACACAGUGAAUACAAUUUUCAAAACUGUACCAUAUGGCACAAAUGUCUAGAUGCUAUAUAAUAAGGUUAAACUAUUAAAACAAAUAAACAUAAAUAGAAUUGAAAUUUUAUAAUAAACAUACAUUCCUGUUAAUAAUUUUUUUCAAAAAAUUUUGAAUAUACAUAUAUAUAAUAUCAAUAAACACAAACAUCAAGUAUUUACGGAUGGACAUUUUAUUUAUCGAAUGAAUCAAUUUUUAAAUUCUAACAUUCCACUAUAUAAAUAAACAUCCAUACUUGAACAGUAUAACAUAAUUAACAUUAUGGGAGUAAUUAAAUUUUGUUAUGAUUAUUGUAAAUUAUUAUUACUUUUUUAGCUCACCUGGCCCGAAGGGCCAAGUGAGCUUUUCUCAUCACUUGGCGUCCGUCGUCCGUCGUCGGCGUUAACUUUUUACAUUUUGAACUUCUUCUAGAGAACCACUGAAUGGAAUGAAACCAAACAUGGCAUGAAUGUUCCUUAUGAGGUGCUGACCAAGUGUUGUUACUUUGUAGCCGAUCCAUCAUCCAAGAUGGCCGCCAGCGGGGGACUUAGUUUAACAUAGGACCCUAUGGGAAAUGCAUACAAAUGACUUCUUUUAGAGAACCACUGAAUGGAAUGAAACCAAACAUGGCAUGAAUGUUCAUUAUGAGGUGCUGACCAAGUGUUGUUACUUUGUAGCCGAUCCAUCAUCCAAGAUGGCCGCCAUCGGGGAACUUAGUUUAACAUAGGACCCUAUGGGAAAUACAUAAAAAUGUCUUCUUUUAGAGAACCACUGAAUGGAAUGGAACCAAACAUGGCAUGAAUGUUCCUUAUGAAAUGCUGACCAAGUGUUGUUACUUUGCAAUCGGUCCUUCAUCCAAGAUGGCCGCCAGCGGGGGACUUAGUUUAACAUAGGACCCUACGGGAAAUACAUACAAAUGUCUUCUUUUAGAGAACCACUGAAUGGAAUGAAACCAAACAUGGCAUGAAUGUUCCUUAUGAGGUUCUGACCAAGUGUUGUUACUUUGUAGCCGAUCCAUCAUCCAAGAUGGCCGCCAGCGGGGGACUUAGUUUAACAUAGGACCCUAUGGGAAAUACAUACAAAUGUCUUCUUUUAGAGAACCACUGAAUGGAAUGAAACCAAACAUGGCAUGAAUGUUCCUUAUGAGGUGUUGACCAAGUGUUGUUACUUUGCAGUCGGUCCAUCAUCCAAGAUGGCCGACAGCAGGGGACUUAGUUUAACAAAGGACCUAUGGGAAAUACAUACAAAUGUCUUCUUUUAGAGAACCACUGAAUGGAAUGAAACCAAACAUGGCAUGAAUCUUCCUUAUGAAAUGCUGACCAAGUGUUGUUACUUUGUAGCCGAUCCAUUAUCCAAGAUGGCCCAGCGGGGGACUUAGUUUUACAUAGGACCCUUUGGGAAAUACAUAAAAAUGUCUUCUUUUAGAGAACCAAUAAAUGGAAUGGAACCAAACAUGGCAUGAAUGUUCCUUAUGAGAUGUUGACCAAGUGUUGUUACUUUGCAGCCGAUCCAUCAUCCAAGAUGACCGACAGCGGGGGACUUAGUUUAACAUAGGACCCUAUGGGAAAUACAUACAAAUGUCUUCUUUUAGAGAACCACUGAAUGGAAUGAAACCAAACAUGGCAUGAAUGUUCCUUAUGAGGUGCUGACCAAGUGUUGUUACUUUGCAGUCGGUCCAUCAUCCAAGAUGGCCGACAGCAGGGGACUUAGUUUAACAAAGGACCUAUGGGAAAUACAUACAAAUGUCUUCUUUUAAAGAACCACUGAAUGGAAUGAAACCAAACAUGGCAUGAAUCUUCCUUAUGAGAUGCUGACCAAGUGUUGUUACUUUGUAGCCGAUCCAUCAUCCAAGAUGGCCGCUAGGGGGGGAAGGGGGGGCUUAGUUUAACAUAGGACCCUAUUGGAAAUACAUACAAAUGUCUUCUUUUAGAGUACCACUGAAUGGAAUGAAAUCAAACAUGGCAUGAAUGUUCCUUAUGAAGUGCUGACCAAGUGUUGCUACUUUGUUGCCGAUUUACUGUUCAAGAUGGCCACCAGGAUAUUUUAUUAAAUAACGGGACCAAUAUUAAUCAAAAUUUGGCCUCAAUCAUUAUUUGGGUAUCUGUUAUGAUUUUUAUCUAUCUUUACAUGAUUUCUAAAACCAAAGUAGAGUCAGGUGAGCGACACAGGCUCUUGAGAGCCUCUAGUUUUGUGAGCUGCAAGGAUUUAAAAUCAUGCUUUGUGAAUUGAAAACACACAAGUAUUUUUAUUCACGACUGUUUAAAAUUUAAAUAUUUAAUUAAUUUAUCUUACUUUCCGUUUUAUGGAUAUAUUACAAUACAAAUAACAAUCACUUAUAAAACCUUACUAAAACGGUAUGAAAUAAUUAACGUAGAAAUAUAAUGAUUAUUGUUUAUCAAGAUUUUUUUUGUAGGAUGCAAGGAUUUAUUCAGAUUUAAUUAUUAUGUUUCCUUUACAAAUGAAUAUUUAAAAUACCAAAGCAGAGUAUCCUGCCAUAUAAAAUAUUUGUUCCUUAAUUGCAACUAUGAAAAUAUUCUGACUGCAAUUAUUGUUAGUUUCUUCAGACGUAUUUUUGUAUAUAUUUCUUUGAUUUCGAUAAAAUUAAUUGAAUUAAAUAUUUUUGAUAAUAA